rnacentral:rRNA from 1 species
CCUACGGGAGGCAGCAGUAGGGAAUCUUCCACAAUGGGCGCAAGCCUGAUGGAGCAACACCGCGUGAGUGAUGAAGGGCUUCGGAUCGUAAAGCUCUGUUGUUGGAGAAGAACGUGCGUGAGAGUAACUGUUCACGCAGUGACGGUAUCCAACCAGAAAGCCACGGCUAACUACGUGCCAGCAGCCGCGGUAAUACGUAGGUGGCAAGCGUUAUCCGGAAUUAUUGGGCGUAAAGCGAGCGUAGGCGGUUUGUUAGGUCUGAUGUGAAAGCCUUCGGCUUAACCGAAGAAGUGCAUCGGAAACCGGACAACUUGAGUGCAGAAGAGGACAGUGGAACUCCAUGUGUAGCGGUGGAAUGCGUAGAUAUAUGGAAGAACACCAGUGGCGAAGGCGGCUGUCUGGUCUGCAACUGACGCUGAGGCUCGAAAGCAUGGGUAGCGAACAGGAUUAGAUACCCGAGUAGUC